GUGCUUGCUUUGGUAGCACAUAUACUAAAAAUGGAACGAUACAGAGAAGAUUAGCAGGGCCUCUGUGCAAGGAUGACAGAAAAUUUGUGCAGCAUUCCAUACGUAA
rnacentral:snRNA from 1 species